CCCAGGACACUGCUUCUGGACAGGGAGUGGUGACGGGCCAGCUGGGCCCCAGAGGAGAAGCAGCAGGCAGCCUGGGGAGCACGGGCACACGUGGGACUGGUCCUCCUUCCCAGCCCAACCAGGAGCCUGGAAGGAGCACAGAGCAAUGGCAGCCCGAAGAAAAGGCCAGUACAGCCUGUGGAAGUCCUCUCUGGACAGCAUGUGAGUAGCCACUAGGUGCUGUCAACUCCUUCCCCAUCAAGUUCUAC
rnacentral:lncRNA from 1 species